UAUGUGGCUUGGAUCAAGCUAAUCAGCUCAUCACAUUGUCCUGUUCAUGAUCAAUGAGAUUCUGACUGGGAAUGUGGUACCAAGAUCUUCCUAUCUCCCACUGCAUAGGAAGCUGGCAGGAUAGAGCCCUGGGAGCUGCUGGCAGUCACCUUAUGCCCAGAGGCUUUUAGCCCAUCAGAGGAUACUUUACGUUGUCCUGUUCUCUUUGGUGACAGAAAGCAAACACAACAAGGAGCCCUCACCUUACCCAUGAAGACAAAGAGCCAGAGCAUUUACAAGUGACAAUGCUGGAACUUGGUGUCCCCUCCAGGAUGAGUCUGUGGGAUACUUGCGGGCCUGGUCCUCAUGAUGCAGAAGUCUCCGCUCACGUGGCUAGCUCUGGGAAGAAUACAGUGUUCAUCAGAAAAAUCUCAAGCAACAGUUUGGUGUAGAGUCAUCCAGAUUCUCUCUCAUACAUAUAUAUAAUGUCUUGGUCAGUAAAGCAGAAAACCCGUCCUACGUAUAUGUCAAACCACAGCAUCUGAAUCACAGAAAGCGUGGAGCUGCCAGUGGGCUCCACCCCCACAGAUCCUGCUACUGUGCAAGUUACAAGCCUGGAACAGCUUGGACCCCUGGGGCAUGCAUCUGAUUCAUCGGAAUCACUAGGGGAAAUUUAGUGCACGGCAGAAAUCCAGUCAACACCCUUGUUCCCAAUAGUUAACAUACUGUUUGACACCACUGUGGCCAGCAGAAGAAUUAGUCCAUCUCUCUCAGACCACCCACACCACUGAUAGCUAAUAACUAACACAUGGGGAGACCAUGGCUAAUGAUCUCCUUGG